rnacentral:rRNA from 1 species
GAUGAACGCUGGCGGCGUGCCUAAUACAUGCAAGUCGAGCGAACAGACGAGGAGCUUGCUCCUCUGACGUUAGCGGCGGACGGGUGAGUAACACGUGGAUAACCUACCUAUAAGACUGGGAUGACUUCGGGAAACCGGAGCUAAUACCGGAUAAUCUAUUGAACCGCAUGGUUCAAUAGUGAAAGACGGUUUUGCUGUCACUUAUAGAUGGAUCCGCGCCGCAUUAGCUAGUUGGUAAGGUAACGGCUUACCAAGGCGACGAUGCGUAGCCGACCUGAGAGGGUGAUCGGCCACACUGGAACUGAGACACGGUCCAGACUCCUACGGGAGGCAGCAGUAGGGAAUCUUCCGCAAUGGGCGAAAGCCUGACGGAGCAACGCCGCGUGAGUGAUGAAGGUCUUCGGAUCGUAAAACUCUGUUAUUAGGGAAGAACAAAUGUGUAAGUAACUAUGCACGUCUUGACGGUACCUAAUCAGAAAGCCACGGCUAACUACGUG